rnacentral:rRNA from 1 species
AUUGAACGCUGGCGGCAUGCUUUACACAUGCAAGUCGAACGGUAACAGGCCUUCGGGUGCUGACGAGUGGCGAACGGGUGAGUAAUGCAUCGGAACGUGCCCAGAGGUGGGGGAUAACGCAGCGAAAGCUGUGCUAAUACCGCAUGUGAUCUGAGGAUGAAAGCGGGGGACCAGGCAGCAAUGUUUGGCCUCGCGCCUUUGGAGCGGCCGAUGUCAGAUUAGGUAGUUGGUGGGGUAAAGGCCUACCAAGCCGACGAUCUGUAGCUGGUCUGAGAGGACGACCAGCCACACUGGGACUGAGACACGGCCCAGACUCCUACGGGAGGCAGCAGUGGGGAAUUUUGGACAAUGGGCGCAAGCCUGAUCCAGCAAUGCCGCGUGCGGGAAGAAGGCCUUCGGGUUGUAAACCGCUUUUGUACGGAACGAAAAGGCUCUGGCUAAUACCUGGGGCUGAUGACGGUACCGUAAGAAUAAGCACCGGCUAGCUACGUG